rnacentral:rRNA from 1 species
GUCUUCUUGUUUUUAUAUGAAGUUUGACCUGCCCGGUGAUAUUAUUUAACGGCCGCGGUAUUUUGACCGUGCAAAGGUAGCAUAAUCAUUAGUCUUUUAAUAGGGGACUGGCAUGAAGGGUUUGACGAACUAUUUACUGUCUCAUUUAUUUUUGAAUUAAAAUUUAAUUUUUCAGUCAGAAAGCUGAAAUUUAAUUGGAAGACGAGAAGACCCUAUAGAGCUUUAUAAUUUAUAAUUCGAGUAAAGAUGUAAUUUUAAUCUAGUUUGGGGUUAUAAAUUAUUUUAUUGGGGUGAUAGAAAAAUAUAAAGAACUUUUUUAUUUAUAUAACAUUGAUUUAUGGGUUUUAGAUCCAAUCUUAUUGAUUAUUAGAUUAAGUUACC